AUCCAGACUCCUACGGGAGGCAGCAGUGGGGAAUUUUGGACAAUGGGCGCAAGCCUGAUCCAGCUAUUCCGCGUGUGGGAAGACGGCCUUCGGGUUGUAAACCACUUUUGUAGAGAACGAAAAGUCUAUUGAUAAUACCGAUAGAUGAUGACGGUACUCUAAGAAUAAGCACCGGCUAACUACGUGCCAGCAGCCGCGGUAAUACGUAGGUGGCAAGCGUUGUUCGGAAUAACUGGGCGUAAAGGAUGCGUAGGCGGUUAAACAAGUUAUAUGUUAAAUAUAUAGGCUUAACCUGUAGAAAGCAUAUAAAACUGUUUAACUAGAGUGCAGGAGAGGUAAGUGGAAUUCCUAGUGUAGCGGUGAAAUGCGUAGAGAUUAGGAAGAACACCAGUGGCGAAGGCGACUUACUGGACUGUAACUGACGCUGAGGCAUGAGAGCAUGGGGAGCAAACAGGAUUAGAUACCCCCGUA
rnacentral:rRNA from 1 species